AUUGAACGCUGGCGGCAUGCUUUACACAUGCAAGUCGAACGGUAACAGGCCUUCGGGUGCUGACGAGUGGCGAACGGGUGAGUAAUGCAUCGGAACGUGCCCAGAGGUGGGGGAUAACGCAGCGAAAGCUGUGCUAAUACCGCAUGUGAUCUGAGGAUGAAAGCGGGGGACCAAGCAGCAAUGUUUGGCCUCGCGCCUCUGGAGCGGCCGAUGUCAGAUUAGGUAGUUGGUGGGGUAAAGGCCUACCAAGCCGACGAUCUGUAGCUGGUCUGAGAGGACGACCAGCCACACUGGGACUGAGACACGGCCCAGACUCCUACGGGAGGCAGCAGUGGGGAAUUUUGGACAAUGGGCGCAAGCCUGAUCCAGCAAUGCCGCGUGCGGGAAGAAGGCCUUCGGGUUGUAAACCGCUUUUGUACGGAACGAAAAGGCCCUGGCUAAUACCUGGGGCUGAUGACGGUACCGUAAGAAUAAGCACCGGCUAACUACGUG
rnacentral:rRNA from 1 species